rnacentral:rRNA from 1 species
CAGUAGCCACGGUAAUACGGAGGGAGCUAGCGUUGUUCGGAAUUACUGGGCGUAAAGCGCACGUAGGCGGCCUUGUAAGUUAGAGGUGAAAGCCUGGAGCUCAACUCCAGAAUUGCCUUUAAGACUGCAUCGCUUGAAUCCAAGAGAGGUGAGUGGAAUUCCGAGUGUAGAGGUGAAAUUCGUAGAUAUUCGGAAGAACACCAGUGGCGAAGGCGGCUCACUGGCUUGGUAUUGACGCUGAGGUGCGAAAGCGUGGGGAGCAAACAGGAUUAGAUACCCGCGUAGUCCCUGUCUCUUAUAC